GCGUGCUUAACACAUGCAAGUCGAGCGAGACUGUUCGUCGGAGCUUUUCUAGCGGCGGACGGGUGAGUAACACGUGGGCAACCUGCCUCAUAGAGGGGAAUAGCCUUCCGAAAGGAAGAUUAAUACCGCAUAACAUUGUUGAAAGGCAUCUUUUAACAAUCAAAGGAGCAAUCCGCUAUGAGAUGGGCCCGCGGCGCAUUAGCUAGUUGGUGAGGUAACGGCUCACCAAGGCGACGAUGCGUAGCCGACCUGAGAGGGUGAUCGGCCACAUUGGAACUGAGACACGGUCCAGACUCCUACGGGAGGCAGCAGUGGGGAAUAUUGCACAAUGGGGGUAACCCUGAUGCAGCAACGCCGCGUGAGUGAUGAAGGUCUUCGGAUUGUAAAGCUCUGUCUUUAGGGACGAUAAUGACGGUACCUGACUAAGAAGCUCCGGCUAAAUACGUGCCAGCAGCCGCGGUAAUACGUAUGGAGCAAGCGUUAUCCGGAUUUACUGGGUGUAAAGGGAGCGUAGACGGCAUGGCAAGUCUGAUGUGAAAAUCCCGGGCUCAACCCGGGAACUGCAUUGGAAACUGUUAAGCUAGAGUGCAGGAGAGGUAAGUGGAAUUCCUAGUGUAGCGGUGAAAUGCGUAGAUAUUAGGAGGAACACCAGUGGCGAAGGCGGCUUACUGGACUGUAACUGACGUUGAGGCUCGAAAGCGUGGGGAGCAAACAGGAUUAGAUACCUUGGUAGUCCACGCCGUAAACGAUGAAUACUAGGUGUCGGGGGUUUAUGAACCUUCGGUGCCGCAGCAAACGCAAUAAGUAUUCCACCUGGGGAGUACGUUCGCAAGAAUGAAACUCAAAGGAAUUGACGGGGACCCGCACAAGCGGUGGAGCAUGUGGUUUAAUUCGAAGCAACGCGAAGAACCUUACCAAGUCUUGACAUCCCAUUGACAGGGACUUAAUCGUCCCCUUUCUUCGGAACAAUGGAGACAGGUGGUGCAUGGUUGUCGUCAGCUCGUGUCGUGAGAUGUUGGGUUAAGUCCCGCAACGAGCGCAACCCUUGUCCUUAGUAGCCAGCAUUAAGAUGGGCACUCUAGGGAGACUGCCCGGGAUAACCGGGAGGAAGGUGGGGAUGACGUCAAAUCAUCAUGCCCCUUAUGAUUUGGGCUACACACGUGCUACAAUGGCGUAAACAAAGGGAAGCGAGACUGUGAAGUUAAGCAAAUCUCAUAAAUAACGUCUCAGUUCGGAUUGUAGUCUGCAACUCGACUACAUGAAGCUGGAAUCGCUAGUAAUCGCGGAUCAGAGUGCCGCGGUGAAUACGUUCCCGGGUCU
rnacentral:rRNA from 1 species